rnacentral:rRNA from 1 species
GGGCCUAACACAUGCAAGUCGAGCGGUAGCACAGAGAGCUUGCUCUCGGGUGACGAGCGGCGGACGGGUGAGUAAUGUCUGGGAAACUGCCUGAUGGAGGGGGAUAACUACUGGAAACGGUAGCUAAUACCGCAUAACGUCGCAAGACCAAAGUGGGGGACCUUCGGGCCUCAUGCCAUCAGAUGUGCCCAGAUGGGAUUAGCUAGUAGGUGGGGUAACGGCUCACCUAGGCGACGAUCCCUAGCUGGUCUGAGAGGAUGACCAGCCACACUGGAACUGAGACACGGUCCAGACUCCUACGGGAGGCAGCAGUGGGGAAUAUUGCACAAUGGGCGCAAGCCUGAUGCAGCCAUGCCGCGUGUGUGAAGAAGGCCUUCGGGUUGUAAAGCACUUUCAGCGGGGAGGAAGGCGUUAAGGUUAAUAACCUUGUCGAUUGACGUUACCCGCAGAAGAAGCACCGGCUAACUCCGUGCCAGCAGCCGCGGUAAUACGGAGGGUGCAAGCGUUAAUCGGAAUUACUGGGCGUAAAGCGCACGCAGGCGGUCUGUCAAGUCGGAUGUGAAAUCCCCGGGCUCAACCUGGGAACUGCAUUCGAAACUGGCAGGCUAGAGUCUUGUAGAGGGGGGUAGAAUUCCAGGUGUAGCGGUGAAAUGCGUAGAGAUCUGGAGGAAUACCGGUGGCGAAGGCGGCCCCCUGGACAAAGACUGACGCUCAGGUGCGAAAGCGUGGGGAGCAAACAGGAUUAGAUACCCUGGUAGUCCACGCCGUAAACGAUGUCGAUUUGGAGGUUGUGCCCUUGAGGCGUGGCUUCCGGAGCUAACGCGUUAAAUCGACCGCCUGGGGAGUACGGCCGCAAGGUUAAAACUCAAAUGAAUUGACGGGGGCCCGCACAAGCGGUGGAGCAUGUGGUUUAAUUCGAUGCAACGCGAAGAACCUUACCUGGUCUUGACAUCCACAGAACUUUCCAGAGAUGGAUUGGUGCCUUCGGGAACUGUGAGACAGGUGCUGCAUGGCUGUCGUCAGCUCGUGUUGUGAAAUGUUGGGUUAAGUCCCGCAACGAGCGCAACCCUUAUCCUUUGUUGCCAGCGGUCCGGCCGGGAACUCAAAGGAGACUGCCAGUGAUAAACUGGAGGAAGGUGGGGAUGACGUCAAGUCAUCAUGGCCCUUACGACCAGGGCUACACACGUGCUACAAUGGCAUAUACAAAGAGAAGCGACCUCGCGAGAGCAAGCGGACCUCAUAAAGUAUGUCGUAGUCCGGAUUGGAGUCUGCAACUCGACUCCAUGAAGUCGGAAUCGCUAGUAAUCGUAGAUCAGAAUGCUACGGUGAAUACGUUCCCGGGCCUUGUACACACCGCCCGUCACACCAUGGGAGUGGGUUGCAAAAGAAGUAGGUAGCUUAACCUUCGGGAGGGCGCUUACCACUUUGUGAUUCAUGACUGGGG